rnacentral:rRNA from 1 species
UACGUAGGGGGCAAGCGUUGUCCGGAUUUAUUGGGCGUAAAGCGCGUGUAGGCGGCCAGGUAGGUCUGCUGUGAAAACUCGAGGCUCAACCUCGAGCUGUCGGCGGAAACCCUCUGGCUAGAGUCCGGAAGAGGAGAGUGGAAUUCCCGGUGUAGCGGUGAAAUGCGCAGAUAUCGGGAAGAACACCCGUAGCGAAGGCGGCUCUCUGGGACGGUACUGACGCUGAGACGCGAAAGCGUGGGGAGCGAACAGG